CGUCGAGCAUCACCUCGAAGAAAACCUCAUAGGUGACUCCUGGUGUGAGAUGGGGCAGUUCCAGCUUCCCUUGGACCUCCAACCAGCAGACGUUCUUCAGCGCCACCAUCUCGAUUCCAGCUUCGGCAGCACUGAUGGUAACAUGUCAGUUUCAGAACAUGGGGUUGCCAAGUCCAGUAUUGGGGUUCUUCGCUCCAAGUGAUGGCCAGGCCUCUGGGGAACAGCAUGAAGCAGUUGUGCCUAGUCCUCUCAUCCACCCAGUACUUCUGCACCAUUGCAGAAAGUUUGAAGCAUAAGCCAUGUUCAGAAGUCAAGAAGAUCCCGGUGGAAACCUGAUCUUCCAGUGCAGCUACAUUGGUGACCUUCUCCCCGGCAACAAUCUCCCGGAACAUGUGAGGAGCUGGCGCCCUCUUGGACUGCGCCUGGUUGGCGGUGUCGGAAGUAGUAGAAGCACUCACCUUCAUGCGGCAGAAUGCAUCGAUAAUCGGCAAUGGCAACAGCACAUGAGUAGGCUCAUGCUCGAGAUAACUAAUACAUCAUGCCAAAGAGCACAUGAGUACAGCUAUUGCACAUGGCAUGGAUGCAAUAAGAGCACAUGAGUGCUGCUACUCCUUGAAUGAUUCUUUUAAAAGUAUUCACCGUCAUGUCUACGCCUUACUGAGGACAAAUGGUCUUAUUAAGGUUAUCUUUGGUUUAGCACCUUCUGGAUGUACCACGGCUACCCCCUGGCCCUUCAUUCCUGAACUCCAUGCGAGUUGAGCAGGACGCCCAAGGGAAACCGAGACGAUUAUUCCUUCUUAGGGUGGUGAGAUAAGUCGCCCACAGGAUCUCCGGUGAGCGGAUUGCACUAUCAUUCCUUUCCGCUCAUGACACUCUCCAAAUUAUUUUACCAGCUACGGUGGGGCGCAACAUGUUACUGAAAAGUUUAUCUCGGUCACCACCUCACAUGUAAGGAUCAGAUCGCAUCAUCAAGAUGCUAAUAAUUCGUUUGCAGUAAAUUAGAAGGACCUUGAAGACUAGUUAUAAAUAAGCAAGUCCUCGGUGAGAUGUCAUCAGGUCUUCUCUUUUAUUAUGAUAUGAUUCCAGCUUGACAUGUCACAUGCAUGUAUUGCAUACUUGUCUGACUUAAUCCCCGGGGAUGAACACGACGACGUGGGUCAUUACAAAUGGAUGUGGAUUCCAGUUAAUGUGUGUUGGGAGCCGAGAUCUGAGAUUCCACUUAAUGCUAAUACUUCGAUGUGGAGUUCCAAUUUCA